rnacentral:tRNA from 1 species
GCGCCCGUAGUCUAACUGGAUAAAACUGUACCCUCCGACGGUACCGUUGUGAGUUCAAAUCUCGCCGGGCGUACCA